CAGCAGCCGCGGUAAACGUAGGACGCAAGCGUUAUCCGAAUUUACUGGGCGUAAAGAGCGUUGAGGCGGUUCCGUAAGUUGGGCGUGAAAGCCCCCGGCUCAACUGGGGGAGGUCGUUCAAUACUGCGGAACUUGAGGACAGCAGAGGGAGGUGGAAUUCCCGGU
rnacentral:rRNA from 1 species